AUAGUUACCAUGCAGGGGAGGUACAGUGAUCACAAAGGUGGUUUUCCUAGGAUGAGACUCAUCCACUGUGCUCCAUAUGUACUGAUCCCAGUUUUUCCCAAAUGUGCAAAAUUCAGCUGUGUAAUUUAUGGUAGUUGGAGACUGUGUUUGCCUUCUCCCC
rnacentral:snRNA from 1 species